AGCAGCCGCCACGGUAACACCGAGGGUGCAAGCGUUAAUCGGAUUUACUGGGCGUAAAGCGUGCGUAGGCGGCUUUUUAAGUCGGAUGUGAAAUCCCUGAGCUUAACUUAGGAAUUGCAUUCGAUACUGGGAAGCUAGAGUAUGGGAGAGGAUGGUAGAAUUCCAGGUGUAGCGGUGAAAUGCGUAGAGAUCUGGAGGAAUACCGAUGGCGAAGGCAGCCAUCUGGCCUAAUACUGACGCUGAGGUACGAAAGCUAGGGGAGCAAACAGGAUUAGACCCCCGUAGUCCCUGUCUCUUAUACAC
rnacentral:rRNA from 1 species